ensembl:misc_RNA Metazoa_SRP Metazoan signal recognition particle RNA
ACUGAGUGUGGUGGUGCACACCUCUAGUCCCAGAUACUUGGGAGGUUGAGGCAGCAGGAUCACUUGAGCCCGGGAGAUUGAGGCUGCAGUGAGCUGUGAUUAUGCCACUGCAGUCCAGCCUGGGCAAUAGAGUGAGACUCUGUCUCAA